rnacentral:rRNA from 1 species
GACGAACGCUGGCGGCGUGCUUAACACAUGCAAGUCGAACGGAAAGGCCCUGCUUUUGUGGGGUGCUCGAGUGGCGAACGGGUGAGUAACACGUGAGUAACCUGCCCUUGACUUUGGGAUAACUUCAGGAAACUGGGGCUAAUACCGGAUAGGAGCUCCUGCUGCAUGGUGGGGGUUGGAAAGUUUCGGCGGUUGGGGAUGGACUCGCGGCUUAUCAGCUUGUUGGUGGGGUAGUGGCUUACCAAGGCUUUGAAGGGUAGCCGGCCUGAGAGGGUGGCCGGCCACAUGGGGCCUGAGAUACGGCCCAGACGCCAACGGGAGGCAGCAGUGGGGAACAUUGCACAAUGGGCGGAAGCCUGAUGCAGCAACGCCGCGUGCGGGAUGACGGCCUUCGGGUUGUAAACCGCUUUCGCCUGUGACGAAGCGUGAGUGACGGUAAUGGGUAAAGAAGCACCGGCUAACUACGUG